rnacentral:rRNA from 1 species
UACGUAGGUGGCAAGCGUUGUCCGGAAUUAUUGGGCGUAAAGAGCUCGUAGGCGGUGUGUCGCGUCGGCCGUGAAAACCUGGGGCUUAACUCUGGGCGUGCGGUCGAUACGGGCAUCACUGGAGUUCGGCAGGGGAGACUGGAAUUCCUGGUGUAGCGGUGAAAUGCGCAGAUAUCAGGAGGAACACCGGUGGCGAAGGCGGGUCUCUGGGCCGUAACUGACGCUGAGGAGCGAAAGCAUGGGGAGCGAACAGG